UACGGCCAUGUCAUGUUAAAACAGCAGUUCCCAUAUGAUCACCAAAGUUAAGCAAUUCCAAACCUGGUUAGUACCUAGAUGGGUGACUACUUGGGAAUACCAAGUGCUGUAAG